CCUACGGGUGGCAGCAGUGAGGAAUAUUGGUCAAUGGACGCAAGUCUGAACCAGCCAUGCCGCGUGCAGGAAGACGGCUCUAUGAGUUGUAAACUGCUUUUGUACGAGGGUAAACGCAGACACGCGUAUCUGUCUGAAAGUACCGUACGAAUAAGGAUCGGCUAACUCCGUGCCAGCAGCCGCGGUAAUACGGAGGAUACAAGCGUUAUCCGGAUUUAUUGGGUUUAAAGGGGGCGUAGGUGGUCGGAUAAGUUAGAGGUGAAAUCCGGAGGCUCAACUUCGGAAUUGCCUCUGAUACUGGUAGGCUAGAGAGUAGUUGCGGUAGGCGGAAUGUGUGGUGUAGCGGUGAAAUGCUUAGAGAUCAUACAGAACACCGAUUGCGAAGGCAGCUUACCAAGCUACUUCUGACGUUGAGGCACGAAAGCGUGGGUAGCAAACAGGAUUAGAUACCCGAGUAGUC
rnacentral:rRNA from 1 species